rnacentral:misc_RNA from 1 species
UUUCCGUAGGUGAACCUGCGGAAGGAUCAUUACCGAGCUCAUGCCCUUACGGGUAGAUCUCAACCCUAUGUUAUCGUUACCUUUGUUGCUUUGGCGGGCCGUCCGGCCUCGGUUAGACUAUCGGCUCCGGCUGGUACGUGCCCGCCAGAGAAUAUCAAACCUUGCAUUUAAUGUUGUCUGAGUACUAUAUAAUAGUUAAAACUUUCAACAACGGAUCUCUUGGUUCUG